rnacentral:lncRNA from 1 species
CCAAGUGAUGAUUCAUCAGCUACCUCAUCAUUUCCACAACAGAGCCUAGAAACAACAAAUAAUCACCAAGGAAGAAGAACAACACAAGAUCCUCCUCAUCAUCAUCAUGCAGGUGCAGUGGAAGAAGAAGCAAACAUCAUGAUCAAAUUCAAGUGGAGGAGUGCAUUUUGCAUGUGUCUUCCAAGCUUUGGUAAUAAAGCAAAAGGAGUUAAGAAAGAAGAAGUAGCACCAAGAAUUGAGGAACAUUAUUCAGUGAGUCAUGUCAUGUCUAGUACUUUCUCUUUUGAACCCUAUGACCAUAAUAAUAAUAAUAAUAAGGGUAACAAUGAAGAUGAUGAAGAAGAGAAUUAUAAUCAUGAGAAUCAAGG